ACGGCAGGCUUAAACACAUGCAAGUCGAACGCCCCGCAAGGGGAGUGGCAGACGGGUGAGUAACGCGUGGGAACAUACCCUUUCCUGCGGAAUAGCUCCGGGAAACUGGAAUUAAUACCGCAUACGCCCUACGGGGGAAAGAUUUAUCGGGGAAGGAUUGGCCCGCGUUGGAUUAGCUAGUUGGUGGGGUAAAGGCCUACCAAGGCGACGAUCCAUAGCUGGUCUGAGAGGAUGAUCAGCCACAUUGGGACUGAGACACGGCCCAAACUCCUACGGGAGGCAGCAGUGGGGAAUAUUGGACAAUGGGCGCAAGCCUGAUCCAGCCAUGCCGCGUGAGUGAUGAAGGCCUUAGGGUUGUAAAGCUCUUUCACCGGAGAAGAUAAUGACGGUAUCCGGAGAAGAAGCCCCGGCUAACUUCGUGCCAGCAGCCGCGGUAAUACGAAGGGGGCUAGCGUUGUUCGGAAUUACUGGGCGUAAAGCGCACGUAGGCGGAUAUUUAAGUCAGGGGUGAAAUCCCAGAGCUCAACUCUGGAACUGCCUUUGAUACUGGGUAUCUUGAGUAUGGAAGAGGUAAGUGGAAUUCCGAGUGUAGAGGUGAAAUUCGUAGAUAUUCGGAGGAACACCAGUGGCGAAGGCGGCUUACUGGUCCAUUACUGACGCUGAGGU
rnacentral:rRNA from 1 species